AUCCCCUGCUGGGUCCGCAAGGAGCUGCUGUCCAGACUGGGUCACGUUUCAUGCACCAUAUCAGCCUCCAAGGCAAGUCCAAUGGAAAAGCUGGCCCUUGGCCAUGGAACACAUUCAAGAAGAUGAUGAAGAAGAACUUCCCAAAGCCAGACUGUUCUUCCAUCAAACUUCACACACCCACAAAUGCCAGGCCUGGAGGAACUGCUUCGUAGUCUGGGUUAGGUUUUCAUUUUUACCAUCUUCCCACCUUCUCUAGCAAAACAAACCCCAAACACAAGGGGGCAAGUCCAACCUCAUCUAUUAAAUUUGCAGAGUUCUGAAGCACUCUGUGGUUGUUCUUUUGUAUGAGAACACUGGGUCACCUACAUGUAAAGGAGAUAGUGGCAAGGUGGGGGUCAACUUCUUUUCCCAGGUAACAGUGAUAGGAUGAGAGGGAAUGGCCUUAAGUUGUACCAGGGAAGGUUCAGUUUGGAUAUGAGGAGCAAUCUCUUCUCAGAAAGAGUGGUGAGACACUGGAACAGGUGGUGGGGUGACCGUCCCUGGGGGUGUCCAAGGAACGUGGAGACAUGGCACUGAGGGAUGUGAUUUACUGGGCAUUGGUGAUGGGUUGGGGUUGGGCUGGAUGAUCUCAGUGGUCUUUUCGAACCCUAAUGAUUCUGUGAUUCUAUGACAUGGUUAAUGGGCAUGGUGGGGAUGGGUUAACAGUUGGACUAGAUGGUCUUGGUGGUCUUUCCAACCUUCAUGAUUUUAUGAUUCUGUGUAAUGGGAAGAGUUUCUCUAGACAGGCUCAGGGUACUGAAGGACCUGGCCACAGGCUGGGGGAAAGUUCCUUCCAAAUGUCUGUGUUGCUGUCAACAAGAAGGACAUAAUCUAUGAUGCUGCCCUCGUGGAUUAAGGAUCUGCAUCAGGAAGAGAGUGUCCAGCACACAUCUGUAACCCCUGGAAGCGACAAAUGCACACAACUUGCCAGCUGGACUGUCCCAUCGAAAUGGCCAAAUCCCAGCUUGCUUUUUAGCUGGCUCUCCUCACUGGAUGAUGAAGCAAAGCCUCUUGCUGCAAAUCCACUGUAUCAGCUGUUCACCUAGUUCGU
rnacentral:lncRNA from 1 species